UGUUUCAGACCCGACCGCUUGCCCAUUGCCAGGUCACGGUACCAACCCGAUCGCCGCCGGUUCCGGCGAUGU
rnacentral:sRNA from 1 species